GGGGGAUGACGCCCCCCCCUUGACCUCUUCCUCCAGGAGCCGGGACCAAAAUAACCGGGCGGGAGGGGACACCUCGCAGGGUCAUCCUCCUCUAAGAUUCCAGGACCAUGAUCAUCCCUCUAUUGCUGCUUCUUAGAUCAGCUUGUAAUGUCCGUCUCCCCCACCAGACUGCGUCUCCAGCAUCUCUGAGUCCCCAGGGCCUGGCCUGGGGCUUGCUACAUGGUGGGCGCCCAGUAACUGUGAGAUGGAGUCUUGCUCUGUUGCCCAGGCUGGAGUGCAGUGGCGUGAUCUCGGCUCACUGCAACCUCCGCCUCCCAGGUUCAAGCAAUUCUUCCACCUCAGCCUCCUGAGUAGCUGGGACUACAGGCACGCACCACGCCUGGCCAAUUUUUUUUUGUAUUUUUAGUAGAGAUGGGGUUUCACCAUGUUGCCCAGGCUGGUCUUGAACUCCUGACCUCAAGUGAUCCACCUGCCUUGGCCUCUCAAAGUGCUGGGAUUACAGGCAUAAGCAACUGCGCGGCCUUUUUUUUUUUUUUUUUUUAGAUGGAGUCUUGUUCUGUCACCCAGGCUGGAGUGCAGUGGCACAAUCUCAGCUCAUUACAAUCUCUGCCUACCGGGUUCAAGUUAUUCUCCCACCUCAGCCUCCCAAGUAGCUGGAAUUACAGGCACGAGCCACCACAUCCAGCUAUUUUUUUUGUAUUUUUAGUAGACAUGGGGUUUCACCAUGUUGGCCAGGCUAGUCUCGAACUCCUGACCUCAAGUGAUCCACCUGCUUUGGCCUCCCAAAGUGCUGGAAUUGAUUACAGGCAUGAGCCACCAUGCCUGGCCAUUAUUCUAUAAUAUAUCUUUUUUUUUUUUUUUUUUUUUUUUAAUUGAGACGGAGUCUCGCUCUGUUGCCCAGGCUGGAGUGCAGUGGCGCAAUCGCGGCUCACUGCAAGCUCCGCCUCUCAGGUUCACGCCAUUCUCCUGCCUCAGCCUCUCCGAGCAGCUGGGACUACAGGCGCCCACCACCACACCCGGCUAAUUUUUUGUAUUUUUAGUAGAGACGGGGUUUCACCGUGGUCUUGAUCUCCUGACCUCGUGAUCCACCCGCCUCGGCCUCCCAAAGUGCUGGGAUUACAAGCCUGAGCCACCGCGCCCGGCUAUAAUACAUCUUAAUUGUGGUGGUAACAUGGGCAUAUUCCUUUGGCAAAACUAUUUGAACUGUACACUUAAAAUGUGCAUUUUAUUACAUAAAUCAUACCU